UGCGAGCACAAUGGCCGCAGGACGUGCGCACAACACGCACGACAUGGGGUCAAGACAUGCGUGCGCGUCUUGUCGCGUGUAGGCAGGCCAUCUGCGCGUCAUCACGCGCACGGACAGGCACCGCACACUGUGCGCGUGCUGUCUACGCAGUAGGCCUGCACGAAUAGGCCCUGUGCGCCUGAGGCCUACGUGCGCAGCACCCAGCGUGCCAAGGCUCUGCGCGCACGUAGGCUAACCACUGCGCACGUGCUAAGAGACCUAUGCGCCUGCAGGCUAGCCUGCAACACGCCGACCGGAGCACUACCACCUCGAGGCUGCUGGUGAAGGAGGCCUUCCUCCCUCUUUUUUUAUGUCGAGCUUCUUUUUCUCCUCUCUCUUCAUUGGAUUUGACCACUUGGCGUGAAUCUAAUGAUUUUAAAAUUAUAUAAAUUGCCUUCCUCUUCCCUUUCUCUUCAUGUUUCCAUUCUUCCAUUUUUAAAGGUUUAGAGAGAGAAAAAGAGAAAGAUAAUAGUCUAGUGAGAGAAGAAGAGAAAGAAAAGAGAAUGGUGGGGGAAAAAACAUCAAGGUUUU
rnacentral:lncRNA from 1 species